rnacentral:piRNA from 1 species
AGAGGAAAAGAAAUCUCUGGCUGGU